UAGAAGGCUUUUAGUUCUCUUAUGGGGUGUCUCUUAGAUGUAUUUUGAGGUGUCUAAUUAUGGGUGCAAGGUCCCCAAUUGUUGGCACCUAAAGCUUCUCCUAAAGUAAAUUGGAUAAUUUAAGUUAAUAGGAAACUCAAUGCAAGUAGGACUUGUAUUAUGUGAUUGAAUAGGAUUCAAUCCUUGUACCUAUUUAAAGAGACCUCUCCUA
rnacentral:lncRNA from 1 species